UACGGAGGGUGCAAGCGUUGUUCGGAUUUACUGGGCGUAAAGGGCGCGUAGGCGGUCAGCACAAGUCAGUUGUGAAAUCUCCGGGCUUAACUCGGAAAGGUCAACUGAUACUGUGCGACUAGAGUGCGGAAGGGGCAACUGGAAUUCUCGGUGUAGCGGUGAAAUGCGUAGAUAUCGGGAGGAACACCGGUGGCGAAGGCGGUUCUCUGGGCCUUACCUGACGCUGAGGAGCGAAAGCGUGGGGAGCGAACAGG
rnacentral:rRNA from 1 species